rnacentral:rRNA from 1 species
AGAGUUUGAUCCUGGCUCAGAUUGAACGCUGGCGGCAUGCUUUACACAUGCAAGUCGGACGGCAGCGGGGUAGUGCUUGCACUACUGCCGGCGAGUGGCGAACGGGUGAGUAACAUAUCGGAACGUACCGAGCAGUGGGGGAUAACUAAUCGAAAGAUUAGCUAAUACCGCAUAUCUUCUGAGGAAGAAAGCAGGGGACCUUUGGGCCUUGCGCUGUUUGAGCGGCCGAUAUCUGAUUAGCUGGUUGGUGGGGUAAAGGCCUACCAAGGCGACGAUCAGUAGCGGGUCUGAGAGGAUGAUCCGCCACACUGGGACUGAGACACGGCCCAGACUCCUACGGGAGGAUGAUCCGCCACACUGGGACUGAGACACGGCCCAGACUCCUACGGGAGGCAGCAGUGGGGAAUUUUGGACAAUGGGCGCAAGCCUGAUCCAGCCAUGCCGCGUGUCUGAAGAAGGCCUUCGGGUUGUAAAGGACUUUUGUCAGGGAAGAAAAGGCUGUUGCUAAUAUCGACAGCUGAUGACGGUACCUGAAGAAUAAGCACCGGCUAACUACGUGCCAGCAGCCGCGGUAAUACGUAGGGUGCGAGCGUUAAUCGGAAUUACUGGGCGUAAAGCGAGCGCAGACGGUUACUUAAGCAGGAUGUGAAAUCCCCGGGCUCAACCUGGGAACUGCGUUCUGAACUGGGUGACUAGAGUGUGUCAGAGGGAGGUAGAAUUCCACGUGUAGCAGUGAAAUGCGUAGAGAUGUGGAGGAAUACCGAUGGCGAAGGCAGCCUCCUGGGAUAACACUGACGUUCAUGCUCGAAAGCGUGGGUAGCAAACAGGAUUAGAUACCCUGGUAGUCCACGCCCUAAACGAUGUCAAUUAGCUGUUGGGCAACUUGAUUGCUUAGUAGCGUAGCUAACGCGUGAAAUUGACCGCCUGGGGAGUACGGUCGCAAGAUUAAAACUCAAAGGAAUUGACGGGGACCCGCACAAGCGGUGGAUGAUGUGGAUUAAUUCGAUGCAACGCGA